AACUUAUAGUUCUAUUAGGGAAUAUUCCACUUACACUGGAAAGGUUUCUGUGCAAUCCAGGAUUAGUUGAU
rnacentral:tRNA from 1 species